rnacentral:sRNA from 1 species
UUGACAGUCCUGGAGACGCUAGUCCUCUGGCCACAGGACAGAGAGAACCUGGGCUGCAGCAGGGCAAGCUUCCCAACCCUGCCCUGCCAAUGUGACUCACCCUUGCCAGGACAGAGAAGGGGGCUCUGCCUUCAUGGCCUGCUCACGCUUUGGGCUAAU